GCCCAAAUUCCUUUCAGUUAAAAGCUUGGUGGCUCUCACUAUGGUCAGUUAGGACAGGGAGAACAGUUAGGGGCCAGAGUUCCAAUUCUUCCUUGUUUUUAAAGUGCGUUUCUAAAGGGGAUUUGUUAAGACUGGGAGACUCCAUUAGUUUCAUCUUCUCGGGUCCAGUCCUGCCGCAUGGAGCUACCCCUUGGGAUUCUAACCAGGAUGCCACUCCUCUCCCUUCUCAGGGCCUAAAGCUGAGGACCAGGUGAUGGGCCAUUUAGAAGCCCCCAAGACCUUUCUGGAGGAGAGACGACGACGGGUUCUGAAGAAGGCCCCGUCUUCCCGAGCUUUCUACACCUGCACGGGGGAGAGGUGCGGGCGUUGUUGGCCUGUGUGAUGGUUUGGGUGAGAACCUUUGUCUUAGGAAUCCCAGGCUCACCUGAAUCCGCUGCAGGAAUUUCUGAGCUUCCCAAUAAAAAGAAAACAAAUCCGAAUUUGAGAAAGUAA